UAAUUUUAACCUAAACCCUAUUGCAUAAGUUUACUGUUUUAACCCUUAUGCUCACACCUAAUCUCCUAUUUUCAUGAACAACCCUAAUGCUACUCUUUUAACCCUAAUGCUCACACCUAAUCUCCUAUUUUCAUGAACAACCCUAAUGUUCAUACCUAAUCUCCUAUUUCAUGAACAAAACAAAUCGGCAUCGCUUUAUUUCCCUUAUUUAUUCAAAAUAAAUCACCCUAUUUCUUCAACAAAACAAAUCGCCCUAUUGGAAUAAAAGGGUUUUGAAAGAUUAUAGCAACAUUUUUUUUUUGUUAAUAUUACACUUUUCAUCCAAAUUAGAACUGAACUCUCUUUGUUAAAUAUCUAAUCUCCUAUUUCAUGAACAAAACAAAUCGGCAUCGCUUUAUUUCCCCUAUUUCUUCAAAACAAAUCGCCCUAUUUCUUCAACAAAACAAAUCGCCCUAUUGGAAUAAAAGGGUUUUGAAUGAUUAUAUCAACAUUUUU
rnacentral:lncRNA from 1 species